rnacentral:rRNA from 1 species
UUGGAGGGCAAGUCUGGUGCCAGCAGCCGCGGUAAUUCCAGCUCCAAUAGCGUAUAUUAAAGUUGUUGCAGUUAAAAAGCUCGUAGUUGAAUUUCGGGAUCAAUUUAUCGGUCGUGCCUCUGGUAUGCACUGGUAUUAUUGAUUUCUACCUUCUGACGAACCAUCAUGUCAUUUAUUUGGUGUCAUGGGGAAUCAGGACUGUUACUUUGAAAAAAUUAGAGUGUUUAAAGCAAGCACACGCUUGAAUACAUUAGCAUGGAAUAAUGAAAUAGGACGUUUGACCCUAUUUUGUUGGUUUCUAGGAUCGACGUAAUGAUUAAUAGGGAUAGUUGGGGGCAUUAGUAUUCAAUUGUCAGAGGUGAAAUUCUUGGAUUUAUUGAAGACUAACUACUGCGAAAGCAUUUGCCAAGGAUGUUUUCAUUAAUCAAGAACGAAAGUUAGGGGAUCGAAGACGAUCAGAUACCGUCGUAGUCUUAACCAUAAACUGUGCCGACUAGGGAUCGGAUGAUGUUAAUUUUUUAAUGACUCAUUCGGCGCCUUACGGGAAAC